UCGCGGCCUAUCAGCUUGUUGGUGGGGUGAUGGCUUACCAAGGCGGUGACGGGUAGCCGGCCUGAGAGGGCGACCGGCCACACUGGGACUGAGACACGGCCCAGACUCCUGCGGGAGGCAGCAGUGGGGAAUAUUGCACAAUGGGCGAAAGCCUGAUGCAGCGACGCCGCGUGGAGGAUGACGGCCUUCGGGUUGUAAACUCCUUUCAGCAGGGACCAAGCGCGAGUGAGUGUACCUGCAGAAGAAGCACCGGCUAACUACGUGCCAGCAGCCGCGGUAAUACGUAGGGUGCGAGCGUUGUCCGGAUUUAUUGGGCGUAAAGGGCUCGUAGGCGGCCUGUCGCGUCGGAAGUGAAAGCCCACUGCUUAACGGUGGGUCUGCUUCCGGUACGGGCAGGCUAGAGUAUGGCAGGGGAGACUGGAAUUCCUGGUGUAGCGGUGGAAUGCGCAGAUAUCAGGAGGAACACCGGUGGCGAAGGCGGGUCUCUGGGCCAUUACUGACGCUGAGGAGCGAAAGCGUGGGGAGCGAACAGGAUUAGAUACCCUGGUAGUCCACGCCGUAAACGUUGGGCGCUAGGUGUGGGGACUGUUUCCACGGUCUCCGUGCCGGAGCUAACGCAUUAAGCGCCCCGCCUGGGGAGUACA
rnacentral:rRNA from 1 species